CCUACGGGUGGCAGCAGUGAGGAAUAUUGGUCAAUGGGCGCGAGCCUGAACCAGCCAAGUAGCGUUAAGGAUGACUGCCCUACGGGUUGUACACUUCUUUUAUAAAGGAAUACAGUGCGGCACGUGUGCCUUUUUGUAUGUACUUUAUUAAUAAGGAUCGGCUAACUCCGUGCCAGCAGCCGCGGUAAUAAGGAGGCUCCGACAGUUAUCCGGAUUUAUUGGGUUUAAAGGGUGCGUAGACGGCCUUUUAAGUCAGCGGUGAAAGUCUGUGGCUCAACCAUAGAAUUGCAGUUUAAACUGGGAGGAUUGAGUAUGUUUGAGGCAGGCGGAAUGCGUGGUGUAGCGGUGAAAUGCUUAGAUAUCACGCAGAACCCUGAUUGCGAAGGCAGCCUGCCAAGCCAUGACUGACGCUGAUGCACGAAAGCGUGGGGAUCAAACAGGAUUAGAUACCCUUGUAGUC
rnacentral:rRNA from 1 species